rnacentral:rRNA from 1 species
ACAGGUGCUGCAUGGCUGUCGUCAGCUCGUGCCGUGAGGUGUUAGGUUAAAGUCCUGCAACGAGCGCAACCCUCGUCGCUAGUAAAUUUUCUAGCGAUACUGCCCGUAAACGAGGAGGAAGUGGGAUGACGUCAAGUCAGCAUGGCCCUUACGCCUUGGGCUACACACACGCUACAAUGGGUGAUACAACGGGUUGCGAGAGAGCGAUCUGGAGCUAAUCCCUAAAAUCAUCCUCAGUUCGGAUUGCAGGCUGAAACUGCCUGCAUGAAGUUGGAGUUGCUAGUAACCGCAGGUCAGCACACUGCGGUGAAUACGUUCUCGGGCCUU